CGGAUUGAAGGCUGAAAUUGCCUUCAUGAAGCUGGAAUUGCUAGUAAUGGCAGGUCAGCAUACUGCCGUGAAUACGUUCCCGGGCCUUGUACACACCGCCCGUCACACCAUGAGAGUUGGAAAUACCCGAAGCCUGUGAGCUAACUUAAAGAGGCAGCAGUCGAAGGUAGAGCCAAUGAUUGGGGUGAAGUCGUAACAAGGUAAC
rnacentral:rRNA from 1 species